AGGCCUGUAGCUCAGCUGGUUAGAGCGCACCCCUGAUAAGGGUGAGGUCGGUGGUUCAAGUCCACUCAGGCCUA
rfam:Piscirickettsia salmonis strain PM15972A1, complete genome.